AUUGAACGCGUGGCGGCAGGCUUAACACAUGCAAGUCGAACGAUGAAGAUGUAGCUUGCUAUAUCGGAUUAGUGGCGGACGGGUGAGUAACACUUAGGAAUCUACCUUUUAGCGGGGGAUAGCUCGGGGAAACUCGAAUUAAUACCGCAUAAUUUCUACGGAAUAAAGAGGGCUUUUAGCUCUCACUAGAAGAUGAGCCUAAGUAAGAUUAGCUAGUUGGUGGGGUAAAAGCCUACCAAGGCGACGAUCUUUAGCUGGUCUGAGAGGAGGAUCAGCCACACUGGGACUGAGACACGGCCCAGACUCCUACGGGAGGCAGCAGUGGGGAAUAUUGGACAAUGGGGGCAACCCUGAUCCAGCCAUGCCGCGUGUGUGAAGAAGGCCUUUUGGUUGUAAAGCACUGUAAGCAGUGAAGAAGACCUAUUGGUUAACGCCCAAUAGCGAUGACAUUAACUGCAGAAUAAGCACCGGCUAAGUCUGUGCCAGCAGCCGCGGUAAUACAGAGGGUGCAAGCGUUAAUCGGAAUUACUGGGCGUAAAGCGAGCGUAGGUGGUUAAAUAAGUCAGAUGUGAAAGCCCUGGGCUCAACCUAGGAACGGCAUCUGAAACUAUUUAACUAGAGUAGGUGAGAGGGAAGUAGAAUUUCAGGUGUGCGGUGAAAUGCGUAGAGAUCUGAAGGAAUACCGAUGGCGAAGGCAGCUUCCUGGCAUCAUACUGACACUGAGGCUCGAAAGCGUGGGGUAGCAAACAGG
rnacentral:rRNA from 1 species